CAGAAUCUGAUUAGCACAAAAGAAUGGGCUGUUUGUCUACCAGCAGGGAGGUCGGCAGUGAUGACCAGACAUGGUGGGCUAGAUAAGCAUAUCCAGAUUUGCCCCUGACCAGACGCUCACAACCGGAAACCAGUUCCUUACCAUCUCCAAACCUCAGCAAUCUACCUGGUCCUCCAAGGGGAAUAAUUCUGACCUUGGGCUGAAGAGGAAGAUGGUUUGCCAGAAGAGACUGGACUGAAGGGACUUCAAGGUCUCUUUGAAGACAGAGUCUGUGACUGUGCUUUGCAGCAGCUACAGGAGGAGGGGAACCAAACCCCAGCACAACAAAACCAGAUAUGCAGAGUGAAGGAACUGGGAUGUGUUAUGUGCAUGUUCCAACUCCAUAUGAGGAAUGUAAACAUUAUGCAUUACAAACUUG
ensembl:lncRNA